UACAGAGGUCUCAAGCGUUGUUCGGAUUCAUUGGGCGUAAAGGGUGCGUAGGCGGCGCGGUAAGUCGGGUGUGAAAUCUCGGAGCUUAACUCCGAAACUGCAUUCGAUACUGCCGUGCUUGAGGACUGGAGAGGAGACUGGAAUUUACGGUGUAGCGGUGAAAUGCGUAGAUAUCAGGAGGAACACCGGUGGCGAAGGCGGGUCUCUGGCCCGGUUCUGACGCUGAGGCGCGAAAGCGUGGGGAGCAAACAGGG
rnacentral:rRNA from 1 species